rnacentral:misc_RNA from 1 species
AUGUUAAUCCUUGAUUUUUAUUAUAUUGUACCUGUUGUAAGAGUUUUAUGCGGAUUAUGAGUAUUCGUAUCUAAGCGUAAGCAUUUAUUAAAUACUCUCCUUAGUUUAGAAUAUAUUAUGUUGAGAAUUUUUUGAAUUAUAAGAUUACAUUUAGCUAAUAUGGGUCAUGAGAGUUAUUUCGUCUUAUUUUUUUUAACUUUAGCAGCUUGUGAGGGGGCAUUGGGAUUGGCACUUUUAGUGUCAGUAGUGCGUACUCAUGGAAAUGAUUGCUUUAGCAGAUUUAGCGUUUUACAAUGUUAA